rnacentral:rRNA from 1 species
GACGAACGCUGGCGGCGUGCCUAAUACAUGCAAGUAGAACGCACAGUUUAUACCCUAGCUUGCUACACCAUAGACGGUGAGGUGCGAACGAGUGAGUAACGCGUAAGUAACCUGCCUGGUAGCGGGUGAUAACUACGGGAAACGAUAGCUAAUACCUCAUGAUAUUAAUUAUUGCAUGAUAAUUAACGGAAAUGUGCAAUUGCACAGCUACCACAGGGACCUGCGUUGUAGUUGCUAGUAGGAGAGGUUACGGCGCACCUAGGCGACGACACAUAGCCGACCCUGGGGGGUGGUCCGCCCACCUGGGACUGAGACACGGCCCAGACUCCCACGGGGAGCCGCCGUAGGGGAUCCUCGGCCAUGGGCGGAAGUCUUAACGGGCCACGCCGCGUGAGUGAAGAAGGUUUUCGGGUCGUUAAGCUCCGUUGUAUGGGGAGAACGGGUGUUGGAGUGGAAAGUGCACGUUGUGACGGUAUCUUAUCAGAAAGGGACGGCUAACUACGUG